CAUAGACAUCAUCAAGUUGAAUCCGGUUCUAUCGAUCCUUUGGAGAUCAAAAGAAUCAUCAUAGAGUUAAAAAUGGUUACUGCGCCGUAUCAUGACAUACUACUAUUUAGAUAUAACCGACCCGCUGCUAUACAGUUGAUGGAGUUAAUGAUCAUCACGGCAGAACGUUCUAAGACAGCUCCAAGAAAUAUCAUUUGCAAAGAAAAGGUGUUAAGUACACCAGAGGUCAGAUCAAUGAUAUCUAAAUUCAAAAAACUUGACAGGGACGGUGACGGUUUACUCUCCGGCAACGAAGCGGAAAAUUUCGUUAAUGAAUUUAACACUUCAAAUCCGGAAGU